rnacentral:rRNA from 1 species
ACGCUCGACACCUACUGGAGGCAGCAGUGGGGAAUAUUGCACAAUGGAGGAAACUCUGAUGCAGCGAUGCCGCGUGAGGGAAGAAGGUUUUCGGAUUGUAAACCUCUGUCUUUGGGGACGAUAAUGACGGUACCCAAGGAGGAAGCUCCGGCUAACUACGUGCCAGGAGCCGCGGUAAUCUGAGCGGGCUGGCAAGGC